rnacentral:tRNA from 1 species
UGGAACGUAGCUAAAAAUUAAAGCACCUCCCUUACACCGAGAAGACGCCCGUGAAAAUCAGGUCGUUCCAA